CAACACAUGUUUUACUUUGUAACUGUUUCUACUUCCAGGCGCGGAGUGAUAUGCAAACUUUCACAAAAUGAUCGGGCGUCAUAGCAGUUAUGUAUAUGCUCAUUAUACAACAGUUGGGAACCAAUCAGAUCGCUGGAUUUAGGUCCCCCGUUGUAUAAACGGCAAGAAUCUUUCUCUUUCUUCUCCACCAUGGAGAAUUCCGGCAUGCAGCCAAUUGCAUACCGAGUCAGUUGAACUAGGCCCGUUGAUCACGCCUCUUGUGCUGAAGAAAAUGCCAGCAGCUUCCCCAGACCAAGCUCAAUCUCUGGCAAUAGCCAGACUACUAAACGCACUGUGGGCACAGGUUAAACAAGCCAUCUGCACACACACUCAGGAGUGUUCUCCUACAUAGAUAUUCACUUUACUUGUUUGGUGAUUCAAGGCAAGGCAAGGCAACUUUAUUUAUAUAGCACUUUUCAUUCACAAGGCAGACUCAAAGUGCUUCACAUAUAAACAUUGUCAUACAAUAAAAUUAAAUAAUAGAAAAGAAAACAUAUGCAAAUAAUUAGUAAGAUAGAUAAAGAAAAUAAAGGCAAAGUUAAAAAAGCAUUUUAGAAAGUGCAAUGUGUUUAAGAUCAGAUCAACAUUCUCUCUGGUACUCCAACCCGACCUAAAGGAACUUGGUCCUUUCUCUGGGUAUUUCUCUGGGUUUCCAACCCAGAUUCUGGGACUCCAAGCCGGAUUCUAGGACUCUAACCCAGACAAAACUCGGGUCUCAAACCCUUAUCCUUUCUCAGAUCAUGUAUCUCUCUGGUAAAAAUAGAAAAUAAAGGUAAAGCUAAAACUGCCUUUUUAUUUAUUUUUUAAAGUGCAAUGUAUUUAAGAUUAGCAGAAAGCUAAAGCAAACAUUAAAGUCUUCAGUCUUGUUUUAAAAGUGGUGAGAGUCGGGGCAAGUCUUAAAUCCUCAGGGAGUUUAUUCCAGCUAUUUGUUGCAUAACUAAAUCCUGCUUUCCUAUGUUUUUUGUAUACUCUGGGGAUAAAUAACAGAUUGGUCUCAGAAGAUCUUAGUGGUCUAGAAGGGUUAUGUAGUGGAAUCAUAUCAGUUAAAUAUUUUGGCCCUAAAACAUGUAGGGAUCCAUAGGUGACCAACAUGAUUUUAAAAUACAUGUGUGUCUAUGCCUUAAAAGAGGCAGUACAUAAGUACAGUAA
ensembl:lncRNA